rnacentral:rRNA from 1 species
AUUCCAGCUCCAAUAGCGUAUAUUAAAGUUGUUGCAGUUAAAAAGCUCGUAGUUGGAUUUCUGGGAGGGUGCUAAUGUCCGCCAUAGCGCGUGUGCAGCAGCGCCCUUCCAUCCUUCUGUUAACGCCUCUUGGCAUUCAUUUGCUGGUGGCGGGCUCAGAUAUUUUACCUUGAGAAAAUUAGAGUGUUUCAGGCAGGCUAGGCCGGAACAUAUUAGCAUGGAAUAAUGAGAUAGGACCUUGAUACUAUUUUGUUGGUUUGCGCAUCAAGGUAAUGAUUAAUAGGGUCAGUUGGGGGUAUUCGUAUUCCGUUGUCAGAGGUGAAAUUCUUGGAUUUACGGAAGACGAACGACUGCGAAAGCAUUUACCAAGGAUGUUUUCAUUG